rnacentral:misc_RNA from 1 species
UUCGUUUUCUGCUUGCAAUAAAUGAUCGGAUUUUUCCUAUAUAUAUACCUUCAACCAGGAAGCCCCCCGCAUUUGAUUUUCUCCUCUUCCUUUUCACAGUUCCUAUUCUAACUGCUCCGGCAGUAGUCCCGGCCAUGAUUGUGGCUUUUGAUCUUUUUUCGAUUGUUCUUUUUAUUCCCUGACUGAAAAUUUAUGAUCCCUGUGAUCGGAGAAUUAUGACAACCUCAUUUGAUGACAGUGAGAG